rnacentral:rRNA from 1 species
CUUUUUGAUAAUAAUUUAAAGUCUAACCUGCCCACUGAAAAAUUUAAUGGCCGCGGUAUUUUAACCGUGCAAAGGUAGCAUAAUCAUUAGUUUUUUAAUUGAAAGCUUGCAUGAAUGGUUGAAUGAGAAAAUUNCUGUCUCUAAAUAAUUUUAGAAUUUUAUUUUURVGUUAAAAAGCUUAAAUUUUAUUAAAAGACGAGAAGHCCCUAUAGAGUUUUAUAAAAAUUUUUAUUUUUAUUAUUUAGAAUUAAUUGGAUAAUAAUAAUUUUUAUUUAAUUGGGGUGAUUAAAAAAUUGAAAAAACUUUUUUUUAUAAUUACAUUGAUUUAUGAAUAAUUGAUCCUUAAUUUAAGAUUAUAAGAAAAAAUUACCUUAGGGAUAACAGCGUAAUUUUUUUUGAGAGUUCUAAUCGAAAAAAAAGGUUGCSACCUCGAUGUUGGAUUAAAAUUAAUUUUUGGUGUAGAAGCUAAA